rfam:Schistosoma curassoni strain Dakar, Senegal genome assembly, scaffold: SCTD_scaffold0001304
AUUCAGCUGACGAGUCCCAAAUAGGACUAAACGUGCGUCCUGAAU